ensembl:lncRNA
UUUUCCAUUAUAGGUUAUUAUCAAUACAAGAUAUUGAAUAGAGUUCCCUGUGCUCUACAGUAGGUCCUUGUUGUUCAUCUAUAUUAUAUACAGUAGUUUGUACCGGUUAAUCCCAAACUCCUAAUUUACCCCUCCCCCUACCUUUCCCCACCAUCACACUUUAAUUAAACACUGAAUGUGUAUGAGUAGCGCUCAGCCUACACCUGACAGCUGACGUCUUCCAGGGGCCUUUGCAGGGGUGAAGUGUGGCAUAAUACAGAAGAAACACUUGGUUACAAAAGCUCUGUGUUUUAUAUUAGCGUCUGUGAGCCUGGAGACUUCUGGAAAUGUGAGCUCGCUGUAAGGAGUUUCCAGCAGUCGCCGUGGCGGCUUUUUAAUGACUCCAGUUGGCUUGGCUGGACUAGUUCCCCAGGACUCCCUUCCCAGUCUGUUUUGGGUCCGAGUGGGCACAGGAGACAUUUUGCAGGAGAUCUGAGGGGACAGCUGUGUCAUUUUCAUUCUUGAAGGCUGGGCGUGUGCCUUUGUAGCUCACACGCUGUCACUCAUCUGCCGACCCAUGUCCUGGGCGUGGGCAGCAGGUGGGCCAUCCCUGGGGUCCUCACCCUCUCUGGUCCCUGGGCCACACGAGGGUUUGGUGCCACCACAGAGGGCUUCUCCUGCAGGACGAGCCCGUCACUGGGCGGCGGUGGGGUGGGGGGAGGAGGCGGUGAGAACUGACAGGGCCUUCAUCCUUCUGCCCUGGGGAUGCAGCUCAUCCAUGACCCCUGCCAGCUCGCUUGCCAGCCUCCGCCCUGGGGAGGGUCACAGCCCCGCAGAGACGGUCACCAGCCCCCGCAGCUGCACAGGGCCAGCCCCUGUGGUGGAUUUUUCAUCACGCAGGCCUCUGGUCAAACCGUGCUUGAUGCCAUCUCCUUGCAGUACCCAAUAAAACAGCGGGAGGAGAGGAUGGUUGGAGAUUAUGUGAGUGUGCUGUCUCCAGCCUCACUGAGUUUGGGGAUCUGAGAGAGGAGAGACCUCAGUGAAGUUCAAGGAGAUAGCACAUCUUGUAGGUGAAUGUGCUAACAGACAAUGGCCAGACCAUAUACAGAAGUAGAACUCGGACCCACAGUCUGCAGAACCAGCCCAGGAAACCAACCUGCCAUCCACAAGCAGACUUGGAGGAAGUCAGACCGCCAGCUCUAGCAACUGGUCCAGGAAGACAAACAAUAACCCCUAUAACAAUCGCUCCCCAACACUGGACCUGAUGAAUAACUGGCAGCUUCCCUAACCUUUGUCCCUGCUUACAACUUAGGACCAAUCAGAGAGAGCUAAGUUCCAAUCACAUAGGAUGUUCCACUUCUAUUAGAGUGUUCUCCAGGCCAACAGUUUCCAACCAGGGCACACCUGAAGCCUUCUCUUUUCCCACUGUCAAGCUAUCCCAUCUGUCUGCCUUUGAAUCUCUGCCCAAACACAAGUGAUGGGGGCUGCCUCCUGCUCUAGCUGGCUCCGAAUACAUAGCCUUUGCUUGUUCCCAUUUGGCUGGUCUUUGUUUAUUUUCACAUCAAGAAGUCUUCGGGGCCUGCACAGGUAGUGGCCUUAAGAUCAGAGGGUGAUAUGGUCUGCUUAUGCUGAAGAGGACCUGAGACAUCUCCCCAAGUUUCCUGUGGCUUUGCACUAGCCCAGAAGGUAGGGUUGCCAGAUAAAAGGCAGGAUUCCCGGGUACACUUGAAUUUCAAAAAAAAAAAGAAAGAAAAAAAGCAAUGAAAAUUUUUAGCGUAAAUAUAUCCUAAGCAGUAUUUGGGGCAUACUUAUGCUAAAAAAGUAUUCUUUGUUUAUCUGAAGUUCAAAUAUAACUGGGUGUCCUGUAUUUUUAUCUGCUAAAUCUGGUCACCCUACAGGACAGCAACGAAAAGUUCUCAUGCCUCACUCCCACAGGUUGCAAAAAAAGUUAAGAAAGAGAAGGAGAGAGAGCCCUGGUGGGGCUUUAAGAAGUUUCAGAGCUAAUAGGAAGGGGAACAUAUUGGAGGCAACAUGGGAAACCCUCCCAGGAUUGAACGAGGAUUCAGCGGCAUCUCAUGGGAUUUCCAGGCUGGAGGAGGGAUGGCAAGAACUAGAAGAGAAAUGAUUAUUCUGGUGCAGGAGUAUGAGAUCAAGACAUAUGUAGGCCUAGAAGUGUAUGCCUGCUUCUCACCAACACUGCAGCUGCAUUUCUCUAAGCACAGCUUCCCUGACGCCCCCCUCAAGCUUCCCAUCAACCCCAGGAAGAAGGAAGGGGUUUGGGGGAACUAGCCUGAAUAUGACUGUUAUCAACCUGAAAUGACAUUUUAGGAUUUCUAGGGAAGUGUGCUGACAUUGCCAAAUUUAACUGGUUUACCCGGAAAGGACGAGAUUAAUUUUCUGCAGUUAGUAUGGAGCCUCAAUAUUAAAAAGCAAAUCCAGUGAUCAGAAAGUUUUAAGGAAUUAACAUUUUGCACACAUGAGCUCACUGUCUGUGAGGCUUUCAAAAAUUAAUAGUCACCAUAUAUAUGGGCUUCAGGUCUUUUUCAGCACCGAUUGGAGACAUGGGACACCUUUUGAAAAAUAAAAUCUCCCCAUCCCAUCCCCGGACCCUCACUCUCCCACCUGGCAAUUUGCCUGGGGAGCCAUUUUCUUCAGAGAGAAAUGUUGAAUCUCACUCUAUCUGGUCUGUAUUAGGAAAACAGUAGUUUUAUUUUUCAUCUUCGAAAUAUUCAAUAACAUUAUUUGAUUGAAUAUACUUUUCAACCUUCAUAUUCAUCCCCCGUUCCUUUAAUACAGUUUUUUUUGCGGUACGCGGGCCUCUCACCGUUGUGGCCUCUCCCGUUGCGGAGCACAGGCUCCGGACGCGCAGGCUCAGCGGCCAUGGCUCACGGGCGCAGCCGCUCCGCGGCAUGUAGGAUCCUCCCGGACCGGGGCACGAACCCGCGUCCCCUGCAUCGGCAGGCGGACUCUCAACCACCGCGUCACCAGGGAAGCCCCCUUCCCCGAUUCCUUUAAUGUUGACAAAACCUGCCUGGACUCCCCACGCUUAGACUCGCUGACUUGAAGGUUUCUUUGUUUUCCUGAUUCUUCCUGCACAGCAAAUUGAUGAUGAAGGCGAUAAUGGCCAUGGUGACAACAGAGCCGCCCCUUGCGGAGGGGCUGCUGGAUCGCACUUACUUCCUGCGUGGCUGAUCUGGGUAACAGCCCUGGAUGCUAAAUAUUACCAUCUCCAUUUUACAAAUGAGAGAAGGGAGGCUCAGAGAGGUUCAGAGACUUGCUCGGGGUGACACAGAGACUUGUUCAGGUGGUGGAAUGGGAUUUAAACUCGGAAUUUUCUAAAACCCUAAUCCAAUAAGAUACAUGCACCCCUAUGUUCGUAGCAGCACUGUUUCACAAUAGCCAAGACAUGGAAGUAACCUAAAUGCCCAUCAACACAUGAAUGGAUGAAGAAGAUGUGGUACAUAUACACAAUGGAUUACUACUCAUCCAUAAUAAAGAAAGAAGUGAUGCCAUUUGCAGCAACAUGGAUGCAACUAGACAUUGUCAUACUAAAGGAAGUAAGUCAGAAAGAGAAAGACAAAUACCAUAUGAUAUCACUUACAUGUGGAAUCUAAAAUAGGACACGAAUGAACCUAUCUAUGAAACAGAAACAGACUCAUGGACAUAGAGAACAGACUGGUGGUUGCCAUGGGGGAGGGAUGGAAUGGGAGGCUGGGGUUAGCAGAUGUAAGCUUUUAUGUAUAGGAUGGAUAGGCAACAAGGUCCAACUGUAUAGCCCAGGGAACUAUAUUCGGUGUGCUAUGAUAAACCAUAAUGGAAAGGAAU